rnacentral:tRNA from 1 species
GAUGGAGUCAGCUAAUCAAGCUUUCGGGCCCAUACCCCGAACAUGACGGUUAAAGUCCCUCCCCCAUCA